rnacentral:rRNA from 1 species
AAGAGGUGAAUUAAUAAUUGGGAAAAUUAAUAAAAAUAAUUUUAAUUAAAAAUAUUAAAUGGGGGUUUAAGUAUUUUUAAGAGAAAAAAUUUAAAAAUUUAUAGUAAAGUAGUAUUGAGAAAGAAUUGUGAAAUAGGUGAAAAUGAAUUUGAUAAAAAGUAAAUUUAGUUUAUUGUAUCUUGUGUAUCAGAGUUUAUUAAUUAAAAUUUAUAUUUAAAAUAUUCUCGAAUUUAAAAGAGAUAAUUAAUUAAAAAAGUUAUUGUUGAAAAAAUAUUUUUAAUAAUUAAUUUGAAAUGAGAUGUUAAUCGUUUUUAAAGAUAUCUAGUUUUUUUAGAAAAAAAUUUAAUUUUAUUUUUAAUUAAAAAAAAACUAAUUAAUUAGUUUUUUUUAAUUAAGAAUUUAAUAUUUUAAGGGAUAAGCUUUAAAAUAAAUUUUUAUAAUAAAAGAAAAUUAAUAUUAAGAUUUAUAUACAUAUAAAAUUUUUAGAAUUUAAAUUGUUAAUAAAUUAUAAUUUAUUAUAAAUAAUUUUAUUUAAUAUGAAAAUUUUAUUUUAAUUUAAAUUUUUAAAAAAAAAUAAUUUUUAAUAAUAUUAAAAUUAAAAAUAAUGAUAAAAUUAGUAUAUUGUUAAAGAUUAUUAAUUUGGGUUAAAUUAAUGAAUAGGAAAUAAUUAAAAGGAAUUCGGCAAAAAUUUAUAUUCACUUGUUUAUCAAAAACAUGUCUUUUUGAAAAAUAAUUUAAAGUCUAAUCUGCCCACUGAUAUAAUAUUAAAGGGCUGCAGUAUUUUGACUGUACAAAGGUAGCAUAAUCAUUAGUCUUUUAAUUGAAGACUUGUAUGAAAGAUUGGAUGAAAUAUAAACUGUCUCUUAGUUAUAAAUAAAAUUUAAUUUUUUAGUUAAAAAGCUAAAAUAAGUUUAAAAGACGAGAAGACCCUAUAGAGUUUUAUAAAUAAAAAUAAUUUAAGUUAUUUGGGUAUUGAAUAAUUAAAAUUAAUUUAUUUAUUUUAUUGGGGUGAUAGAAAAAUAAAUAAAACUUUUUUUAAUAUUUAAACAUAAAUAAGUGAAUAUAUGAUCCAAAAAUUUUUGAUUAUAAGAAAAAAUUACCUUAGGGAUAACAGCGUAAUUUUUUUUUCUAGUACGAAUAGAAAAAGAGUUUGCGACCUCGAUGUGGAUUAGAUAAAUUUAAAUGCAAAAGUUUAAAAUUUUGAUCUGUUCGAUCAUUAAAAUCUUACAUGAUCUGAGUUCAAACCGGUGUAAGCCAGGUUGGUUUCUAUCUUUAGAAAAAUAAAAUAUUUUAGUACGAAAGGAUCAAAUAUUAAAAUUAAAUUUAAAAUUGAGAAUAUUAUUAAAAUUAUUAUAAAUUAUAAAGUAAAAAUUAUUAAAUUAAA